CCCAGCUCGUCAUGCUAGAGCAAUUUUUCAAUGUGAUCCCCAACGACAAGGCGACGACGCAUUCGUAUGUCAAUCCAUAUCAACUUUCGAUGCCAUUUACCACCUACCAUGGUGACCAUGGGUAACGUGGAAUCAGGGUUCAAUUCCGUACAGGGACCCUGACAAACGGCUACCACAUGCAAGAAAGGCAACAGGCGCGCAAAUUACCCACUCCCGACGCGGGGAUGUAGUGACG